CUAGCGACUUCAGAGUUUGAUCCUGGCUCAGGAUGAACGCUGGCGGCGUGCCUAACACAUUCAAGUCGAACGAAUUUGUUUUACUUAAUCCUUCGGGAAGCGGUAAGACAAGUUAGUGGCGCACGGGUGCGUAACGCGUAUGCAACCUACCCAAUGCUGGAGGAUAGCCCGGAGAAAUUCGGAUUAAGCCUUCAUGAGGAGCGGAGAGGGCAUCCUUUCUGUUUCAAAUAUUUAUAGGCGUUGGAUGGGCAUGCGUGCUAUUAGAUAGUUGGCGGGGUAACGGCCCACCAAGUCGACGAUAGCUAGGGGAUCUGAGAGGACGGUCCCCCACACUGGUACUGAGACACGGACCAG
rnacentral:rRNA from 1 species